ensembl:lncRNA
UCUUUUAUGUCCUCCUUAUCAUCCAGUACAGAGAUGGACAUGUAUUUACUAGUCUUCAAAGGCUUCUUUGAAGGAAUGAAUUAAUGAGCAGAUGAAAAACAAGACAGGUACAAAAUUCAUAGCUCCUUAUUUCCAAUCUAUUGCUUAAAGCUCCAUUGUCUUCCACACUGAUGUGGCAAGGUUGGGUGAGAGAGAUCAGUUUUCUCAUCACCAUUUGAUUGGCAAAGAAACUGAAUUACAAAUGAAUUAACCAGUGGACCCCAUAUCACAGUGAAUCAGAUCCAGAGCCCGGGAGAGAAUUCUUAACUCUAAUACUUCUUCAUCUGUAUUAACCACUUUGCCACAUUCCUCUAAGAAAGAUCAGAGUUCUAGCCACAAUAUUUCAGCUCAAGUAUCAAAAAUUCAUCAUGUUCACAGAAUUCAAAAGCUACCCAGAUUGUAAACACGGAAGAGAUUUAACAAUGCAGCUCUACGCAUUUUCAGCCCCAGAUGACACUGGCUUCCUAUGUUACUAUUGCCAUAUUGGCAGAGAGAAGAUCUGAAUGGGAAUAGGAGAACCCUCCAAAUACCACAACGACCUUUUCUUUCAAGAUUUUAUAAACAAGUUUGCAUGGAGAAAAUAGCAAGUGACCACUGCUCCAGCAUCAUGGAUUUCCUUUCUGUCCCUUUAUGGUUCAAACUCCUUGUCUCUUGGAAGUGAACUAGAGAGAGACAAAGGUUUCCUUCAGGCCCUUGGAGUUAAGAGUAAAUGGCUGAGAAGACAGUGAGAAUAAGGAAUCUAUCUUCCAGGAAAUGAUAUCAGGAAAUGAUUCCCAAGGCCCUGAGGAGGAAAAUAGAGUUCAAGGCUUAGUAUUAUUAUCAGUGACCAACUGGGAUGAAAGAAGGCUCACUGGGCAAAGCCAAAUUUCUUCUGGGAGGAGAGAAAGACCCUCCAGUCAUGAGAAGGCCUUCAUAAGUGCCUCUGGAAUGCUUUUGUGUAACUUCAUGAAGGAAAUCUCUUUAGCGAAUCUCCAUAGCCGUGUUUCACCCUGUGAACAGCUAAGAGAGCAGCAGAUACUCAGCCAGAGUGGAGGAAGGGGAGUAGAAGAAAAAGAGGAGGAAUACGCCCAGAGGAUAAGGGAUACAAGUUUGGUUUUUUCCCUUUCCUUCUUUGUUGUAGUCAAACCUCAUGCUGACCUGGACUAGUAGAGUAUCCCUCUUUCUGAACUUCUUGGCUCAAGAACAUGAAUAGAGAGAAAAAAAUGCACCAUAAUACAAUCAUGCUCAUGAAUGUCAAUCAGCUCAUCCUCAAAAACUUUGUGAAGGGGGGGGAAGUCUCUCUGAAUUUACUUAAAAGGGCAAAACAAUAAAAAGGAGCUGCUGCCAACUUGGCUAGCUGGUUUUCUCUGCAUCAUGUUUCAGGGCUCAAACAGCUCUGAGGAGACCAUAAUCACUUAGUCCCAGCUUCUGGCAGCAUUCCUUCUCAAACGCCAAGCCUGAGGAAGUAUACUGCUGAAUUAUUGAGCCAGAAAAUAUUAGUGUUGGAGGGGUCCAUCCAGCCCUACACCCUCAUUUUAUAGAAGCAAGCCCCGAGACCCAAAGAAAUUAAGACUUUGCCCACGAUCCUCAAGCUAGUCAGUGGUGGGACUGGGCCUAAUACUGAGGGAUGCAAAGAGGGUAGCAUUUGCUGUGGGCAUAGGAAAAAAGGCUUCAUUCCACCAGUAAGCCAGCCAAAGUAAGCAGAAGGCCAAAUUAGACCCUGCACACCAGGCACGAGGAGGAACCGAUAAUUUAAAGCAAGGCAUGGAGAUGGAGUGAUGUGAACUCCCAAGUUAUUGAUGGUCAAAGUGAAGAGUGAGAAGAGUGAGUUGUUCUCUCCUCUGCCCAGAAGGAAGAGGGAAAGAACCGAGACUCAGCCAUCAAUUCUGUUAGGGAUGUAAAAUAAUACCAAGACUGGAGACUGGUUAGCCAGAAAUAUUCCCGCUAUCCUUUCAGGCUCCCACAUGCUCAGACCCAAAGCUAAAAAGUCUUCAUGACAGAAACUAAAACAAAUAUUACAAAGUCUUCUGGGAGAGCUAUUUUCUUUGAACAAAUGUGGGCUGCUUGAGAUUACAUCUAGGUGGCAGGAGAAGCCUUUGGGGUUUGUGGGGAUCUGUAUAUGGGGAGCAUGUGCAUAUGUACCUAGGCACACGUGCAAGAAUAUAUUGGUAAGGGCAGGGAGAGAGUGUUAUAAAAAGGCUGCCACAAAGUAAACACUAAGUUUUCUUGGUAUCUCUUCUUGACAUCUAAGUGUUGAACAGGAAAGCACCACAUGGGCUAGCCAACAGCAUGAAGCCUUCGUUUCCAAAGGAUUUGUUCCAGCUGGUCAGUGACUGGCCUCUCUUCCAGGACUGGUUGGAAACAAGAGGGGGAUUUCAAAAGGCCCAGUGAAAAGAAUUCAGAGGACAUGCCAUUAUUAAUGUUCCUGGUUAGGGAUGCUUAAUGCAAAUUUACUCCCAAAAGACUAUUCUACCUUUUCCACUCAAGGCCAAGUUCAAAAUGACAUGUUCUCUUUACUAUGAGCUGAAGGUGAAAGGAUAAUUUUUGAACAGAAGGGAAAAUGCUUUUUCUGAUACCAAGCCCUAGAGUGAUGAUAUAAGAGGUGGAAGACCUUAUUCAAUUUUUACUCUCUGAUGUCUGGGUUAAGCAUUUAACCU